rnacentral:rRNA from 1 species
GACGAACGCUGGCGGCGUGCUUAACACAUGCCAGUCGAACGGAAAGGCCCUGCUUUUGUGGGGUGCUCGAGUGGCGCACGCGUGAGUAACGCGCGAGUAACCCGCCCUUGACUUUGGGAUAUCUUCAGGAGACUGGGGCGAUUACCGGAUAGGUGCUCCUGCUGCAUGGUGGGGGUUGGAGAGUUGCGGCGGUCGGGGAUGGACUCGCGGCUUAUCAGCUUGUUGGUGGGGUAGUGGCUUACCCAGGCUGUGACGGGUAGCCGGCCUGAGAGGGUGACCGGCCACAUUGGGACUGAGACCUGGCCGAGACUGCUACGGGGGGCAGCAGUGGGGGAUAUUGCGCAAUGGGCGGAAGCCUGAUGCGGCAGAGGCGCGUGCUGGAUGACGGCCUUCGUGUUGUAAACCGCUUUGGCCUGUGAGGAAGCGGGAGUGACGGUAAUGGGUAAAGAAGCGCCGGCUAACUACGUG